CGCCUCGGUGCUCGGUCCGUGCCGCUCCGCUCCCUGGUGUGUUGAUUCUUCCCCCAGCUGCUGCCUAAUGGAGUCCGGGCGCUGGCGUCACAGGAAAUGCCUAUACUGCCCUCCUCGCUCACUUCCGGCAGCAGGGCGGAAACACUUGAACUUCCCCCAGCCAAGCACUACCCACACUUGUACCCGUGUCACCAAAGGACAGGGGAGGUGACGAGCCGAGGAGACCGUGCUCCACCCCGAGAAGGCGAAGUCGUCUGUCACUGCCUGUCUGGUGGGGCAAGAAGUUACAAAGACUGAGGGUGUGUAGAGGAAUGGAGGCACUUUGCUGGGGAGUUUUAUGUUUUUGUUCUGUUUUUCUUUUAAGUGUUCACUCAAAUGCCUUAGUCCUGGGUCCUGCUCCUUCUCAGACAGGGAGGAUUCAGGCAUUGAUGCAGAUCCUGGUGUUUUACUGUUCCAGUGCUGUAUGCGGCUUUCUUGGUUGGAGAAAUACAGCAGCAGAGAACUGAGCUGAAUGGUCCGCAGGACCAUCUCAUCAGUAACAUGUAUAUGGGUGGUGGCCUGUAGACCUGCUACGUACAGAUGUUUUUUCUGAAGUUUAGGAAAUCCUUGAUGACUUCCCUUUGGGAGGAAAAAAAAAACCAGCCUCGAGCAAUACAUCCUAUGUCCCUAAAAUUUACAACACUCACAGCGCGGUAAUUUUGAGACCUUUGGAAGCAGCCCUUUUCAAUUUACAAGUGCAAUAAAAAUUAUCCUAUGAUUUGUCAAGAA